AACCCCCAGCUAGGCUGGGGGUUCCGGAAAGCUUUCAGCUUUGAGCCAGUUAUUAAAACCCCUUUUGAUUUGUUAAAAC
rnacentral:sRNA from 2 species